AUGCCCACGCCGUCGCCUUCCCCGUAUUCGUCACCGCCUCCACCUUCUCGCAUGACAGCGGAGGAGGAGGCCCGGCUCAUGCAGCGUGUCAUGGAGGAUUCCAUGAACACGCACGACGAGCGCCAAUGGGACGGCUUGGAGGAGGCCAUGGCACUCUCUGCCGCCGGCGAUGUCACAUUCCCCGAGCUGCAGAUGGCGGCCGUCAAGAAGGAGGAGAGGAGGGAGGAGGCGAUGAAGGAGGAGCCGCUGGUCGCGUUCCACCCGGGCCUGGUGGGCCAGCAAUGGAGCUGGUCGUGCACCGCACCAGAGAUGGCCGUGGGCGUGGGGGCGUGA
rnacentral:rRNA from 1 species